GGCAGAGAGAGAGGGAGGCACAAAAUCUAAAGUAGGCUCCAGGCUCUGAGCUGAGAGCACAGAGCCCGAUGCGGGGCUUGAACUCAUGAACUAUAUCAUGACCUGAGCUGAAGUCAGAUGCUUAACCGACUGAGCCACCCAGGCACCCCACUUUUGUUGAUAUUGUUGAGUUCUCUGUGCCUCCUAGAUCUAUAUGUGUUUCCUUCCCCAGAUUAGGGAAAUUUUCAGUUACAAUUUCCUCAAAUAAAUUUUCUGCUCCCUCUUCUCUCUCUUUUCUUUUGGGACUCCUAAAAUAUGAAUGUUACUAUGUUUGAUGGAAUCCCUGUGUUCCCUAAGUCAAUUCUCAUGGUCCAUAAUUCUUCUUUCUCUCUUUUGUUCAGGUUCAUUAUUUUCCAUUAUAUUGUUUACUAGGUCACUAAUUCAUUCCUCUGCUUCUCCAGCCUGCUGUUCAUUGAAUUGAGAAUGUUUCCAGUCCCAUUUUUUUUUUUUUUUGCACUCAUUUCUGACUGAUUCUUUUUUUUAACUUUUUUAUCUCUGUGGUAAGGGUUUCCCUGAUGUCUUCCAUUCUUUCUCAAGCCUAGUGAGUAUCGUCAUGCUAUAAAUUCCCCAUCAGGCAUGUUACUUGUACCUGUUUUGCUUAGAUCUCUGGCCAUGACCCUAUCUUCUUCUUUCAUUUGGGGUGAAUUUUUCCAUCUUGGCAUUUUGUGUUAGAAAAACGAGUUAUGUUUCCUGCUCCUGAAAAUAAUGGCUUUAUUUAGAGAUCCUGUAGUCCCCAGGUCCUGGUGCUUCAGAGAGUAUCUCUGGUGUCUGCUGUGUGCACUCUGGUGUUGUGUUUUGUUUGCUCUAUCCUUCAGUCCAGUCAUCUGCAUAGGCUCUCCUUGCCUGUAGUGGGCAGUCCUUGGUUUUACUGUGGUAAGUUUUAACUAGAUGUGUUCUGGUCUGCUUGUGAAAUGAGACCUGAUACUACUUCCACUAGAACUAAAGCCAUGCAGAACUCUUUAGUAGGGAAAUGUGUUGUGGUCAGGGGUUUGUGCUGGUCUUCUGGGGAAGGGUCCUGUCACACUGGGUCUGAAGCAAGCUUGAUUGAGGACAGUCCCACCAGAGUGCAGGGAUAUGGGUUUGGUGUAAGCAAGUUAGGAAGCCAGUAUUGGCACUGUGCUGCUUCACACAGAGGGCUCUGUGUUAAUGUUGAAGGGUGGGGGGAGAGAAAUGGCAAUACCCAGCUCCUUUGUCCCUGGAGAAGCGUCUCUGUAAACACUGCCUCUUAGGAAUGCACUGGGAGAAGAGCAAAUAAUCUACUCCCUGUGUGCCCCAGGCAUUCUUCAGAUCACUGUUUCCAUGCAGUCUACCUCCAGGUGGUUUGCUUGCCUUCCUUCCAGGACAGGGCCUUGCCCUCAGGACUCUAUCCCAGCCAAGCCUGCUGACCUUUAAAACUCAAGGCUUUAAACCCUGCUAGUUGCAAGAACUCAGGAAAUCAGCCCCUUUUUUUCCCAGCCAAUGUCUUUGGGGGAAAUCUUCUCCUUAUGUGUUCCCAUGUGUGCUUUCUUACCCUUCUCUCCACAACCAUGGCUCCCUCUCCUCCACAGCACCCAUGAUGGGUUUCUCUCCUAAACCAAGUCUCCACACUUCCUACUUUCUUCAAUGUGACCUCUUCUGUCCUUCUAGUUGUGCAGUUCAUUCUGUCAGUCUUCAGGUUGAUUUCUGGGAUAAUUAGGGUGAUUUGAUAGUUAUCUAGUUGUGUUUGUGAGACAAGAUGAGCCUAGUGUCCUACUCCCCCGCCAUCUUCACACGCUGUUUUUUUAAUCCAUUCCAUUAUUCUAUGUCUUUUGAUUGGAGUAUUUAGACCAUUUGCAUUAAAAUAAUUCAUAGCAUGUACUUACUGGCAUUUUGUUAAUUGUUUUGGAUAUUUUUAUAGUUGUUCUUUCUUCCUUUCUUCUUCUCUUGCUCUCUUGUGGAUGACAGCUUUAUUAUACUUGGAUUCCAUUCUUUUUUUGUGUGUAUGUAUGUAUUAUAGGUUUUUGAUUUGUGGUUACCAUUAGGCUCAUAUAUAACAUAAAAUAUGUGUAGCCGUCUAUAUUAAGUUGAUGGUUCCUUAAAUUUGAAUACAUUCUAAAAAUUUUUUAAUGUUUUAUUUAUUUUUGAGAGAGAGACAGAGCUUGAGCAGGGGAGGGGCACAGAAAGAGGGAGACACAGAAUCUGAAGCAGGCCCCAGGCUCUGAGCUGUCAGCACAGUCUAAUGUGGGGCUCAAACUCAAUGGGGUUUGCCCCACUGGUUUUCAAAGCCAGAGGUUAUGGGGAUUCAUCUUCUGAGUGUAAGUCCCCAGUGCCUAGGGUGACUGGUAUGGGAUUUGAUCUUCUUGCUUCUUUGUGCUUGUGGUGUCCCUCCUGUUUGUGACUAGUCUUGUUAAGGGUUUGUUUCCCAACCACAUCUCUGCCCCUCCUAGCUUUUUUGAUGUGGCCUCCUUUCUACAAUUAACCGUGGAAGGUCUGUUUUACCAGUCUUCAGGUUAUUUUCAGAGUCCAGUCAGUUUCACGGAUGUAGCUGUUAUCUCAGUGUGCGCAUGGGAGACAGUGAGCUCAGGAUCUUCCUACUCCACCAUCUUCCCUGAACUCCCCUUAAAUGACCUUUUUAUUCUCAAAGGGAAAUUUUUCUUUUUUUCCAGUUUUAUUGCGAUAUAAUUGCCAUACAGCAUGGUAUAAGGUAUACAGCAUAAUGUUUUGACUUACACAUACUGUAAAAUAAUCACUAUAAGUUUAGUUAACAUCCAUUAUUUCAUAUAGAUAAUAAAUAAAGAAAAAAAUGGUUUCUUUUCUUGUGAUAAGAACUUUUAGUGUAACAGGGAGGAAAUUUAACAUGUAUGGCUCCUUGCAGCUUCUAUUUCCCUCGCUGCUGUUACCUAUAGCUUAGAAGCUUCAGCUUAGCCCUGAACAUAUGCAUGUUACAGAUAAGAUUUGCAAAAACUGCUUUUUACUUAAAAUCUACCUUAUCCAAGGAGAUAAAGAAGUAUGUACAAAAUGACUAUGCUAUGUUUAAAAUUUACAGUAAUGACAUGACCAGAUUUCAGUACACAAAGUUCAACUGACCAAGGACAGAGAAGUUACAUGACCUUCCUGGGGUGUCUACAGACAUCAGUAACCUUUUGACCCCUAGCCUCUCCUGCUUUCCCCUUUUGCUAACAUAAAAGAAACUUGAAUUUUAUGCCAAGGGGAGAUGAUUCUUUGGGACAACAGUCUGCAAUCUCCUUGGUUUGAUGGCUUACUGAAUAGUCACUUUCCAUAUCCCAAAUCCUGCCUCAUGACUUACAGGCCGGUCAAUGCAGUGAGCAGAAUGAGCCUGGACUUGGUAACAUUAGGAUCUACUCUUAACAACUUUCAAAUAUACUAUACAGCAGUAUUUACUAUAGUCACCGUGUUGUACAUUACAUCUUCAGUAUUUAUAACUGUAAAUUUGUACCUUUUGAUCACUGUCAUCCAAUUCCCUCCUCCCACCCUAGAGACUUUAACACUAAUCCCGUACUCCUUGUUGUUUUGGCUUCUGAAGUCUCUAUUCUGUCCCCUAAUAAUUGCACAGAUUUCCUUAAACAUUUGAAGACAAAAAAUCUUCAUCUUUGACCAUGGGCUCUGUGUUGGGGCACAUCUCCAAAACUGAGUCCAGACAGUUUACACUUCUGCCUUUGUCUUCAUUUCUUGCCUCCAUAGCUACCCCUUUUGGAAUAAGUAGUGCCCAAGUUGAUUCAAGCCUUUGGUUAAUUUCCAGAGUUCUGAAAAAUGUUGAUCUGACAGUUUUUUGUCUAUUUGUUCACUGAAUUUAUGGGGAGGACAUCAAAUUUUGAGUAUUUUACUCUGUCAUUAUUGCUGACAACAUUACUAUAAUGGUUCAAAAAUACAUCUACCAGUUCUCUAAUAUUCAUCCUUUACAUGGUAGAGUCUAAAUACCAUCAUUUCACUCACAGAAGUAGAAAGUGAGAGACUUAGGGUCUACUCAGAUUUUUUCUACAUAUACACACAGCCAUGAGUAAGCAUGUGGCCUUUUAGAUUUCCAGAAAUUUCACAGAGGUUUUCAAAGCCCUUUCAGAUAUAUCAUUCCCCAGCCUUACCUCUCAAACUGUUUUGUUAAUGUAUUAUAUGCCCUGUUACCUAUUGCUUCAGGCAGCAGACACCUAAGACAUUAUCUUACACAUAUUUUCCAUAAAUGCCUCCUGAGAAACAUCUUUAUCACUAGAUCAGUUCUGAGUUAAAGUUAUCUUAAUAAAGAUAAAAUUCUGAAUCAGUGUCCCAGGUAGCCAUAAGACAGGUAAAAACAAAUAAUUAAUUACAUUUAUUUAUAAUGUCAGUUCCAGGCAUCUAGGCUGGUAUUUUCACUACUACCAUUUAGCCAAGGAUUGGAGAAUAAUACUGAGAUAAAUUAAAAUGGCACAAUUUGCGGUUCUCAUUGAGAAUCAAUUACACUUUUUGGAAUAAGCAUCGCCCAGGUUGAUUCAAGACUUUGGUUAACUUCCAGAGAUCAAAAAAAAAGUUGAUUUUGACUAUUUUUGUCCAUUUGUUCAUUGGUUUUGUGGAGAGGUGAGAUUAUGAGUCUUUUACUGUCACAAUUGCUGACAUCUCUCCUAUAAUGGUUUAAAAAUACGUCUACAAACUCUCUAGUAUUCAUUCUUUAAAUUAAAAAAAAAUGUUAAUGUUUAUUAAUUUUUGAGAUUCAGAGUUUGAGCAGAAGAGGGGCAGACAGAGAGGGAGACACAGAAUUUGAAGCAGGCUCCAGGCUCUGAGCUGUCAGCACAGAGCCUGAUGCAAGGCUCAAACUCACGAAUCGUGAAAUCAUGAUGUGAGCUGAAGUCGGACACUUAACCAACUGAGCCACCCAGGCACCCCUCAUUCUUUAAAUGGUAGAGUCUAUCAUUCUAUAAAUGUGGGUUGCAUUUUGUGACUCAAUCAUAAUAAAUAGAAAAAAGUGGAAGGGAUGGUACAUGACUCAAAAGGACUAUGUCACAAAAAACAUCUUUUUUCCUCCCGCUCUCUUGGAUUAUUCACUAUUGGGAAAGCCAAGUGCACAUGCUGAGGCCCACACAGAAGGAAUGGAGUAUUUCUACCCAAAGCAAUGUGGUUGAGAAAUCUUAAAAAUUAAUCCUACAACCCAGUCAAACCUUCAGAUAAUUGUAGUCACAGCAGACUCCUUAUCUCCAGUAUCCUGAGAGCCUCUGUGCCAGAACUAUUAACUAAGCUACACCCAAAUUUCUAACCCCUACAAAACUGUGCAAUUAAUGUUUGUUGUUUUGAUCCACUACAAUUUGUUACACCACAGUAGAUAGCUCAUAAACCCUCUCAUAAAAAAAGAUUAAACUUUUAAGAGCAGUCCUGAAAAAUAUAUUAGAUGAUAAUCUUUUCCAGUGCUAAUCAAAUAUUAUUAGAAAAGGUAAAAGCCUAUUAAAAUGGAUUCUAGAUAUAGUUCUUGACAGGUUGUCUGUUAUACCUCUGAAAUGAUCUCUAAAGAAAAUGAGAGAAAUAUAUAAGCUGAGGGCCAGUUUUGUGUAGUGAAUUUGGAAAUUUCUGACCUGACCUAGGAAAAAUGUGACCACCAGGUGGCAGUAGCAUACCAUGAGUUUUAUUCAGAUGGUACAUUAAUAAAUUUGUAUGAAGAACAGGGGAUGGGGGAAUUCCUUACAGCAUGGGACCUUACAGAGUCUCACAACUUAGAAGACGAGGAGGCGAAGAAACUUCAUUGAAAGAAGGGAAAUAAGAAAGGGUCUUACUGUCUAGGUGGUAUCACUCAGCAGCAAGAUGGGGACUCUGGGUCAGUGAGCUCCACAAGGCAACAGGGGCUUGAGGUCAUUUAUAGCACCAGAAUUUACCUUAUUUGUCACCAGCAGAUUUACAAGUACAGUUUUAUAAAGCAUGCAAACCAGGCAAACCCAAAAUGGCUAAGCAAAUCCUUAUAGGGGCUACAUUUACAGUAAAUGCAUGCAUAUAAUGUAUACAUUUGUUAAAAAUUGUACAAAUUUGUAAAAUGGGUAAAAAAUUGAGUUUGUCACUGGUGGGCUUAAAGUUAAUUAUUCUGGCCUGCUGUGAAGAAGGAAACAAUAUAGGGCCAAUAUACAAGAGCCAUCUUUGGCUUAUUUAUUUACUUUUUGGCUUAUUUAUAUAACAAGUUCCCAUGCCACUUAAUAUGAAGACAGUCUUCAAUGAUAUAGAGGUCUUUGUAGGUAUGUUAAUAUUUUAAAAAUGUCAUUCAAGACAAAAUAGCCUCUUCCCAUUGUAUGCCAUGGGAAUUCACUGGUUCUCUAGAGGGUAAAUCAGAAUUAAAUAUUUACCUUGGGUGGGGGCUCCUGGGUGGCUCAGUUGGUUAAGCGUCUGACUCCUGAUUUCGACUCAAGUCAGAUUCUCAUGAUUGUGAGAUCGAGUUCUGCACUGGGCUCCGUGCUGUCAGUACAGGGCCUGCUUGAGAUUCUCUCCUUCUCUCUGCGCCCCUCACCCUUCUCUAAGUAAACAAACUUAAAGAAAAUAUUUACCUUGGGAAAAUAUUUUUUUGAAAGACAGGUUACUUACAGAGAACCAACUAAGAUUCAUAUUAAGCUUUGUAUGUGUUUUCUACAUUUGUCUAAAAAUUGCCACAAACCUAACAGCUUUAAAUAAAAUACAUUUAUUACAUCGUGUUUUCUGAAGGCCAAGAAUUUGUGACAGUUUACUUGCAUCCUCUGUUUAGGGUCUCACAAGACUGUAAUCAAGGUGUUAGCUGGGCUGCAUUCUCAUCUGGAGAAAUAAAUGGGGAAGAAUAUAUUUCCAAGUUCAUUCAGGUUGCUGAAAUAAUUUUAAAAUUUUUAAAUUAAAAUUAAAAAAAUGACAGGACCAAGAGAGGUUAAAAUUUUAAAAAUGACAGGGACCAAGAGAAAUAUCAUGUUACCUAGGCAUGAUAUUUCUCAGACUUAAGAAGAUAACAAAUUACUAUGAAUUCUGUAUGUAUAUAAAAUAGAUUACUUUCUUUCCCAUGUUUUUACUACUAGCUGCAAUUUACUCUUUUACAAUUGCCAUAGCUAAUAUUGUGAUAGUAAAAAAACACAACAAACAUUAAUUUUAUUUCCAUCAGCCUACAAAAAAUCUUGAUGACAGACACUCAUAUAUUCAUAUGAGGAAAUAUUUUAUUUUUGGAAUAAAGUAUCAUAGCCCAACUUAAGAACACCGAUAAGCGGUUAUAAACUGGUUCUCAAAUAAAUUUGCCAAAGUGAGUUAAAAUUGCUCUACAGGUAAAGUUUUCUAAUUAUAAUUGCUCUAACCUUUUAAGGUUAACAUUUGAAAAUAUUAUGAAAGAGAAAUGAGAAUUUUAAUCUAAUGCUUAAAAAUCAGUCUUCCAAAAUUAAUUUGAGCAUUCUAAGCUCUGAGAUGUAAAUUUGAAAGUGUUGUUUCUUCAGAAGAAUUCUCCUCAAAAGAAAUUCCAGGAAGAAAUGACAGCCAGAGAAUUGCUCAAAACAGAGACAAACAAUAUAUCUGAACAAGAAUUUAGAAUAACAGUCAAAAGACUAAUAGCCUGGCUUAAAAAAAAAAAAAAAAGCAUAGAAGACAGCAGAGAAUCUAUUACUACAGAGAUCAGAGACCUAAGAAAUAGUCACAAUGAAUUAAGGAAUGGUAUAAAUGAGAUGCAAAAUAAUAAACUAGAUGCAGUGACAGUGAGGAUGGAGGAGAGAAUAGGUGAAAUCAAAGAUAAAAUUAUGGAAAAUGAUGAAAAAAAGAGGGAAAAUAAAUGACUAGACCAUAAGGAGAGAAUUCAAGACCUAAGUGAUUCAAUGAAAUGAAAUAAUACCUAUAUCAUAGGAAUUCCAGAAGAGAGAAAGGGGCAGAAGGUUUAUUUGAACAAAUGAUAGCUGAGAAUGUCUCUAAUCUGGGGAAGGAAACAGGCAUCCAAGUCCAAGAGGCACAGAGAACUCCCUUCAAAAUCAACAAGAACAGGUAAACACCACAACAUAUCAUCAUGAAACGCAAAAUACAAAGAUGAAGACAGAAUUCUGAAAGCAGUUAGGGACAAACAGGUAUUAAACCACAAGGGUAGACACAUAAGGGUAGUAGCAGACCUGUCCAUUGAAACUUGGAAGGCCAGAAGGAAGUGUCAGGAAACAUUCAAUGUGCUGAACAGGAAAAAUAUGCAGCCAAGAAUCCCUUAUCCAGCAAGGCUAUCAUUCAGAAUAGAAGGAGAGAUAAAGGUUUUCCAAGACAAAAACUAAAGGAGUUCACGCAGGAAAUUCUAAGAGGGACUCUGUGACUGGAAAGCAGCAAAGAUAACAAAGAACCAGAAACACCACCACAAGCAUGAAACCUACAGAUAUCACAAUGACACUAAACUCAUAUCUUUCAAUAAUCACUCUGAAUGUAAAUGGACUAAAUGCCCCAAUAAAAAGACAUAGGGUAACAGAAUGGGUUUAAAAAAAAAAACAAGAUCCAUGUAUAUGCUGCCUACAAGAGAUUCAUUUUAGACCUGAGGACACCUGCAGAUUGAAAGUGAGGGGAUGGUGAACCACCUAAUAUGCUACCAGACAUCAAAAGAAAGGUAGAGUAGCCAUACUUACAUCAGACAAACUAUAUUCUUUAAAAAGACUGUAACAAGAGAUGAAGGGCAUUAUAUCAUAAUUAAGUGGCCUAUCCAUCAAGAAGAGCUAACAAUUAUAGAUGUUUAUGCCCCCAACAUGGAAUAACCAAAUAUAUAAAUCAAUCACAGACAUAAAUAAAUGUAUAGAUAAUAAUACCGUGAUUGUAGGGGACCUUAAUACUCCACUCAUAGCAAUGCACAGAUCAUCGGCAGAAGAAAAUCAAUAAGGAAACAAUGGCUCUGAAUGACACAUUAGACCAAAUGGAUUUAACAGAUAUAUUCAGAACUUUUCAUCCAAAAGCAGCAGAAUACACAUUCUUCUCAAGUGUGCAUGGAACAUUCUCUAAAAUAGAUCACACAUUGGGUCAGAAAACAGCCCUCAAUAAAUAUAAGAAUUGAGAUCAUACCAUGCAUAUUUUCAGUUCACAGCACUAUGAAACUUGAAAUCAACCACAAAAAAAAAUUUGGAAAGUCCCAAAUACAUGGAGAUUAAGGAAUAUCCUACUAAAGAAUGAAUGGGUUAACCAAGAAAUUAAAGAAGAAAUUUAAAAAUAUAUGGAAGCAAAUGAAAAUGAAAACACAACAGUCCAAACCCUGUGGGAUACAGCAAAGGCAGUCCUAAGAGGAAAAUACAUUGCCAUUCAGGCCUAUCUCAAGAAGCAAGAAAGGUCCCAAAUAUACAACCUAACCUCACACCUAAAGGAACCAGAAGGGCAGCAGCAAAGAAAGCACAAAGCCAAAAGAAAAGAAAUAAUAAUGAUUAGAACAGAAAUAAACAAUAUAGAAUCUAAAAAAAAAAAACAAAAAACAGUAGAACAGAUCAAUGAAUCUAAGAGCUGCCUUUUUGAAAGAAUAAACCAAAUUGUUAAACCCCUAACUACACUUCUUAAAAAGAAUUGAGUACCCAAAUAGAUAAAAUCACAAAUGAAAGAGGACAGAUGACAACUAACACCAAAGAAAUACAAUUAUUAGAGAACACUAUGAAAAAAUCAUAUGUCAACAAACUGGACAAUCUGGAAGAAAUGGGCAAAUUCCUAGACACUCACACACUACCAAAACUCAAAUGGGAAGAAAUAGAAAAUUUGAAUACACCUAUAUCCAGUGAAAAAACUGAAUCAGUUAUCAAAAAACUCCCAAGUAAGAGUCCUGGACUAGAUGGCUUCCCUGGGGAAUUCUACCAGACAUUUAAAGCAGUUAACUCCUAUUCUCCUCAAGUUUUUUCAAAAAAUAUAAAUGGAAAGAAAGCUUCCAGACUCAUUCUAGGAAGUCAGCAUUACCUUGAUUCCCAAUCCAGACAAAGACCCCACUAAUAAGGAGAAUUACAGGCCAAUAUCCCUGAUGAACAUGCAUGCAAAUAUUCUCAACAAGAUACUAGCAAAUCUAAUUCAACUGUAUAUUAAAGGAAUUAUUCACCAUGAUCAAGUGGGAUUCAUUCCUGGGCUGCAGGGUUGGGUCAAUAAUUGCAGAUCAAUCAAUGUGAUACAUCACAUUAUAGAAGAAAGGGUAAGAACCAUAGGAUCCUGUCAAUAGAAGCAGAAAACACAUUUGACAAAAUACAGCAUCCUUUCUUAAUUAAAACCCUCAAGAAAGUCAGGAUAGAAGGAACACACCUAAACAUCAUAAAAGCCAUAUAUGAAAAGGCCACAGCUAAUAUCAUCCUCAAUAAGGGAAAACAGAAGAGCUUUCCUCCUGAGAUCAGGAACACGACAGGGAUGUCUACUCUCACCACUGUUGUCUAACAUAGUGUUGGAAGUCCUAGCCUCAGCAAUCAGACAACAAAAUGAAACACAAGGCAUCCAAAUUAGCAAAGAAGAAGUCAAACUUUCACUCUUCGCAGAUGACAUGAUACUCUACAUGGGAAACCCGAAAGAUUCCACCAAAAAAACUGGUAGAGCUGAUACAUGAAUUCAGCAAAGUCGCAGGAUAUACAAUUAAUGUACAGAGAUCAGUUGCAUUUCUAUACACCAAUAAUGAAGCAACAGAAAGAUAUCAAGGUAUUGAUCGCAUUUAGAAUUGCACCAAGAACUAUAAAAAUACCUAGGAAUAAACCUAAUCAAAGAGGUAAAAGAUCUGUAUGCUGAAAACUAUAGAAAGUUUAUGAAAGAAAUUGAAGACACAAAGAAAUCGAAAAACAUUCCAUACUCAUGGAUCAGAAGAAUAUUGUCAAAAUGUCAAUACUACCCAAAGCAAUCUACAGAUGCAAUGCAAUCCCAAUCAAAAUAGCACCAGCAUUCUUCACAGAGAUAGAACAAACAAUCUUAAAAUUUGUAUGGAACCAGAAAAGACCCUGAAUAACCAAAGUAAUGUUAAAAAAGAAAACCAAAGCUGGAGGCAUCAUAAUCCCAGACUUUAGCCUGUAUUACAAAGCUGUAAUUGAGACAGUAUGGUACUGGCACAAAAACAGACACUAGGCCAAUGCAACAGAAUACAAAACCCAGAAAUGGACCCACAAACAUACAGCCAACUAAUCUUCAACAAACCAGAAAAGAGUAUCCAUUGGAAAAAAGUCUCUUUAGCAAAUGGUGCGGGGAGAACUGAACAACAACAUGUAUAAGAAUGAAACUGGACCACUUUUUUUACACCAUACACAAAAAUAAACUCAAAAUGGAUGAAAGACGUAAAUGUGAGAUAGGAAGCCAUCAAAAUCCUCGAGGAGGUAACAGGCAGCAACCUCUUUGACCUUUGCCACAGCAAUUUACUUGACAUGUCUCUGAAGGUAAGGGAAGUAAAACCACAAAUGAAGUAUUGGGAUGUCAUCAAAAUAAAAACCUUCUGCACAAGAAAUGAAACAAUCAACAAAACUAAAAGGCAACCAACAAAAUGGGAGAAGAUAUUUGCAAAUAACAUAUUGGAUAAAGGGUUAGAAUAAAAAAUCUAUAAAGAACUUACCAAACUCAACACCCAAAAAACAAAUAAUCCAGUGAAGAAAUGGGCAGGAGAGAUGAACAGUCUCUUUUCCAAAGAAGACAUCCAAAGGCAAACAGACACAAUGAAAA